AGUGAACGCUGGCGGUAGGCCUAACACAUGCAAGUCGAACGGCAGCACAGGAGAGCUUGCUCUCUGGGUGGCGAGUGGCGGACGGGUGAGGAAUACAUCAGAAUCUACUCUGUCGUGGGGGAUAACGUAGGGAAACUUACGCUAAUACCGCAUACGACCUACGGGUGAAAGCAGGGGAUCUUCGGACCUUGCGCGACUGAAUGAGCCGAUGUCGGAUUAGCUAGUUGGCGGGGUAAAGGCCCACCAAGGCGACGAUCCGUAGCUGGUCUGAGAGGAUGAUCAGCCACACUGGAACUGAGACACGGUCCAGACUCCUACGGGAGGCAGCAGUGGGGAAUAUUGGACAAUGGGCGCAAGCCUGAUCCAGCCAUACCGCGUGGGUGAAGAAGGCCUUCGGGUUGUAAAGCCCUUUUGUUGGGAAAGAAAUCCAGCUGGCUAAUACCCGGUUGGGAUGACGGUACCCAAAGAAUAAGCACCGGCUAACUUCGUGCCAGCCGCCGCCGUAA
rnacentral:rRNA from 1 species